rnacentral:misc_RNA from 1 species
GCUUAAUUAGGUAUGAAACAUAACAUCCAAAGAAGGUGUUAGCGGUGAUCGAUAUUUGUUUGUGCAUCUUCUCUGUAUGUUCCCUGAGGAGGCUUCUUUCUCUCUCUAAAAUAGAUUCAUUCCUCCUCCUCCUCACGGAACUUCACUCUUUCUCUCUCUACAAUUUGUAUUCCUCUCUACAGCCAUGGCCGCCGACAGUUUCACCGACAAGAAUGCCGUUUUCCGGAAGCUCAAAGCCAAGCCCGAGAACAAGAUGUGCUUUGAUUGCAAUGCGAAGAAUCCUACAUGGGCGUCGGUUACGUAUGGGAUCUUCUUGUGUAUUGAUUGUUCGGCAACGCAUCGUAGCCUUGGUGUUCACAUCAGUUUUGUUAGGUCGACAAAUUUAGAUUCAUGGUCACCAGAUCAGUUGAAGAUGAUGUACUUUGGUGGAAAUAACCGUGCUCAAGUUUUUUUCAAGCAGCACGGAUGGACGGAUGGAGGCAAGAUUGAAGCCAAGUAUACCUCCAGGGCUGCCGAAUUGUAUAAACAAUUACUCUCAAAAGAAGUGGCUAAAAGUAAAGCAGAAGAUACAGGUUUGCCAACAUCACCUGUUGCCUCUCAGCUUGUGCAGACUACAAAUGGAUUUUCUAAUAUUAAGAUUAGUGAAGCUCCAAAAGAAACCUCAUUAUUUAAGGAUGAAACACCAGAGGUUUCUGCUUCACCCAAAGCUUCACAAUCAAUGUUUACUACUUCGAUUAAAAAACCUAUAGUUGCAAAGAAAUCUGGCAAGCCAGGUGGACUUGGAGCUCGUAAACUUACUAAAAAGACCAGUGAAAGUUUGUAUGACCAGAAGCCCGAAGAACCGCCUGUUCAAGUUUCUUCCUCCAACCCUGCAAGUAGUGCACCAACUGGUGGCUCAUCAUUCACAUCUCGCUUCGAGUACACGGACAAUGUCCAAUCCUCUGAGAUGAGUUCUGGACGUGUUCUUAACCAUGUAUCCCCUCCAAUGUCCUCCAAUUUUUUUGCGGACUAUGGAAUGGAAAGCGGUUUCACAAAGAAAAGCUCAAAAUCUUCCAAAGUUCAAAUCGAGGAAACUGAUGAUGCAAGGAAGAAGUUUACUAAUGCAAAAGCAAUUUCAUCUGCCCAAUUCUUUGGUGAUCAGAGCAAAGCUGAAAUGGAAGCCUCAGUUUCUCUUAAGAAGUUCUCGGGUUCAAGUGCCAUAUCAAGUGCAGACCUUUUUGGUGACGAUGAUAGAUCAGAUUUGGACCUCACUGCUGGUGAUCUCAUUAACCGGAUCUCAUUCCAGGCACAACAGGACAUGUCCUCUCUGAAAAACAUGGCUGGAGAAACUGGAAAGAGACUUGGCUCAUUUGCAUCAACAUUAAUCUCCGAUUUUCAAGACCGCAUCCUGUGAGGUUACAGGACCAGAAUAUUUCAGGCAGAUGCAAACAUUUUGUAUGAAAAAUAAUAUUGGAAUGCAACUCUAUAUACAGGCUUUGAAGAAGCUGGUCUUGCCAUGUUAAAAAUUUCUGUUUCUUUGUAUUUGUUUGGUUGUCGGUGAGGUUUGUAGAGCUUUUGUUCAACAAUUUACUGUGUCUGAGUUGUGAAGUCGUUCAAUUGUAAACUAUAGUGAAAACUCUUUAGAUUUUAUCCUCUUUAUAUAUAUAUACAUACA